UCCCUGGAAGUCCAGUGGUUAAGACUCUGCACUUCCAUUGCAGAGGGCAUGGGUUCAAUCCCUGGUCGGAGAA
rfam:Ovis aries breed Texel chromosome 6, whole genome shotgun sequence.